AUUCGCCCUUUAAGUUUGAUACUGGAGACCGGCGCACGGGUGCGUAACGCGUAUGCAAUCUACCUUAUACGGAGGGAUAGCCCAAAGAAAUUUGGAUUAAUACCUCAUAGCAUAGCAACUUCGCAUGAAGUCACUAUUAAAGUUCCAACGGUAUAAGAUGAGCAUGCGUCCUAUUAGCUAGAUGGUAAGGUAACGGCUUACCAUGGCUACGAUAGGUAGGGGUCCUGAGAGGGAGAUCCCCCACACUGGUACUGAGACACGGACCAGACUCCUACGGGAGGCAGCAGUGAGGAAUAUUGGACAAUGGGCGCAAGCCUGAUCCAGCCAUGCCGCGUGCAGGAAGACGCAUCUAUGGUGUGUAAACUGCUUUUGUACGGGAAGAAACACUCCCUCGUGAGGGAGCUUGACGGUACCGUAAGAAUAAGGAUCGGCUAACUCCGUGCCAACACCCGCGGUAAUACGGAAGAUCCAAGCGUUAUCCGGAAUCAUUGGGUUUAAAGGGUCCGUAGGCGGUUUGGUAAGUCAGUGGUGAAAGCCCAUCGCUUAACGAUGGAACGGCCAUUGAUACUGCCAGACUUGAAUUACUGGGAAGUAACUAGAAUAUGUAUUGUAGCGGUGAAAUGCUUAGAUA
rnacentral:rRNA from 1 species